rnacentral:rRNA from 1 species
CCUAGUGGCGGACGGGUGAGUAACGCGUGAGUAACCUGCCUUUCAGAGGGGAAUAACGUUCUGAAAAGAACGCUAAUACCGCAUAACGUACAGUUACCGCAUGGUAGCAGUACCAAAGGAGCAAUCCGCUGAAAGAUGGACUCGCGUCCGAUUAGCUAGUUGGUGGGGUAACGGCCCACCAAGGCAACGAUCGGUAGCCGGACUGAGAGGUUGAACGGCCACAUUGGGACUGAGACACGGCCCAG